UGGAUGAAUCUUUAGCAAAGAUUAAACC
rnacentral:piRNA from 1 species